rnacentral:tRNA from 1 species
CUUCCCGUGGCUCAAUCGGAUAGAGCGCCUGAUUACGGAUCAGGAGGUUCCAGGUUCAAGUCCUGGCGGGAAGGCC